GCAUGAAGGAUGCAAGGAAAACUUUUGUUCCUCAAUCAAGUCUAGGACAAAGAAGAGCUUCUCUAUCUGUAUGAUCCAGGCUUUGGCUACUAAGAGAUCAGGGCCACUUUCAAAGUGUGGGGGGUAAGUUUCCUAAACUCCACUAUGUUAUAGGAAAUGGAUCUUUCGAUGUUUUAGAAUUCGGGGGCUGGAGGUGGAUAAGGGUUGACUUGAUUUUGUUCUACAGCUGCAGUUAAUCCUUGGAUAGUUUAGAAGAGUUUAACAAUUCAGCCCUUAUCGGGUGAUCUGGGGCUUUAAGUCGCUUAGUACGCUCUACAAAUGGUCUUCCUUGCAUCAUUCCUACAAAAGAAAGGAAGACACGAGUUGGUGGUCUAGUUUGAAAAAGUGAUUUUAUCCACAAUUAUUCUGCUCUGAUACCAUUUGUG
rnacentral:lncRNA from 1 species